rnacentral:rRNA from 1 species
AUUGAACGCUGGCGGCAUGCCUUACACAUGCAAGUCGAACGGCAGCACGGGAGCAAUCCUGGUGGCGAGUGGCGAACGGGUGAGUAAAGUAUCGGAACGUGCCCAGUCGUGGGGGAUAACGUAGCGAAAGUUACGCCAAUACCGCAUACGAUCUACGGAUGAAAGCGGGGGAUCGCAAGACCUCGCGCGAUUGGAGCGGCUGAUAUCAGAUUAGGUAGUUGGUGGGGUAAAGGCUCACCAAGCCGACGAUCUGUAGCUGGUCUGAGAGGACGACCAGCCACACUGGGACUGAGACACGGCCCAGACUCCUACGGGAGGCAGCAGUGGGGAAUUUUGGACAAUGGGCGCAAGCCUGAUCCAGCCAUGCCGCGUGCAGGAUGAAGGCCUUCGGGUUGUAAACUGCUUUUGUACGGAACGAAAAGGUUUGGCCUAAUAAGCUGGACCCAUGACGGUACCGUAAGAAUAAGCACCGGCUAACUACGUGCCAGCCGCCGCGGUAA